rnacentral:misc_RNA from 1 species
ACAGCAACAGCAACAAUUUCUCUUGCUACAACAAUUACAGAAGCAAGCCCAACAGCAGCAGCAAGCGGCAGCGAUUUCGCGAUUUCCUUCCAACAUCGAUGCCCACCUCCGCCCCACGGGCCUCCAUCGUCCUCUCAAUCUCCAGCACCAAAACCCUAACCCUAACCCUAAUUCUAAUCCCAAUAUGCACCAGCAGGGAUCCAGUUUGGCCCAAAAUGCCCAGGAAGUGCAGC